AUCUGUUUGGAACUGAAAUAUUUCUCAAUAGAAAACAGGGUUAAUAGAAAACAGACCAAGCUGAUCAUUGUUAGCUCUGAAUCACAGCUUCUUGGAUGUGGAAGGCCAAAAAUGUCCAGAAUGAAGCUCCGAUCUAAUGAUGCAUGGAAUUAUGAGCCUGCAAAGAAGAUCCCUGGUUUUGACUGCUUCCAACUCACCUCAGCAUGGCUGUAACAUCUUCACGUGCACUUUGAAACCUUCUACUUACUUUGUAAAGUAAUAAACAAUGUGGUAGAGCAGCAAUAGCAUUAUACGGAGAGAUUGCAGUUUUGCCCUUGGGGAAAAAAAAAAAAAUCCAAGAAAAUAUUUCCUGAGGAAAUAGAACUUUUGAUGACGUUUUGGGAGGAGAAAUCUGGAUACUCUUCCCCUCACCUCACUCUGGAUGGAAUGAUGCCUCAUGAUGUGUUCCUCCUCUCCCUUUCCCCAAAUAACUUCACAAUGUGUUGGCCAGUUUAAACAUUUAAGUCUGGGUGGCUUGGAAUUAAUAAUAAGCGAAACAAAUUGCCUGGUGUGUCAUCUAUUCUGAUGCUUAAUCAUAAGGUUGGAUCACUUGGCUUAUUUUAGAGCAUACUUCACUGUACCAUACUGAAAGGCUGGCCAGGAGAAUGAACCCUUUGGAUGAACUUAGGUCCAAAUACUGAUGGCAGCAACAUGCCUUCAAAUACCUGUUUGAAAUGUGAAACCCCUCCACAGAGAAGGAACUGAAGACUGCAGUAAAGCUGUAAAACUGUGACUGAAUCUCAUUCCAGGAAUUUUAACUGAGAUGAGCUGAUCUGACGCUCUUGGAGUGGCUGGGCACUUGCCUCUAAAAUGGAAAAUACAAGAAAGCUGUCAUCUGUCAUGUUUCUGUAUUAUGGCCUUUUCAUAAUCUAAAGCUUCAAGAUGAGUCCUCAUCUAAGCAAAAAGCUGUUUAUUUAGCUGGCACCUGAUUUCCUAAAAAUGAUAAUUCUGAUAAUUUUUUGUGUGGGUGAGGUUUCUUUUGCUUGUUUGUGUUGUGUUUGUUUUGGUUUGUGUUUUGGGGUAAGGGUUUGUUUGUGGUUUGGUUGUGGGUUUUAUGGGGUUUUUUUGUUUUUAAAAAAACACAAGUUCACACAACUCAUACUAAGACUUGUCUUCUUACUGUGUGUGAACUGAGUUCACCCACAUCCAGGGUUGUUUAUAUUGUAGUAUCAUUUGGAAUGACACCAUGAAACUGUUUCUGAAAACUGUCUGACAGCACUUGUAUGACCUAUGCUGAAAAACAAGCAAGUGGGGGAUCCUUCUAAUGAGCCUUAAUACAGAUACUCAUCUUCAGCAAAAGAUAGCUAAGAGGUUUCUUUCCUGUAAUGGGACAAAACACUGAAUGCUACUACUAUUUUGUUUUACCUAAAGUGGAGUAAAGGAUUAGAUCAAUUUGGCAGUCAUGCUAAGGAUUUUCUGUGUGUUGUGGUAACAACUUAAAAAAAUUCAGGCUCUAAAAUAUCAUUAAAAUUGGGAUUAAUCAGGAUUAACACACAUUGGGGGGUGGGGAAUGCAUUAUUAAAUCUACUUGUCACCUUCACAGGUUUCAAGGCUGUGUUUCACAUGAAAAUGAAUACCUUACUGAUUCCUGUAAGUUUCAAUAAAUAUAUUAUUAUUGAUCCAA